AGUGAACGCUGGCGGUAGGCCUAACACAUGCAAGUCGAACGGCAGCACAGUAAGAGCUUGCUCUUACGGGUGGCGAGUGGCGGACGGGUGAGGAAUACAUCGGAAUCUACUUUUUCGUGGGGGAUAACGUAGGGAAACUUACGCUAAUACCGCAUACUACCUACGGGUGAAAGCAGGGGAUCUUCGGACCUUGCGCGUUUGAUUGAGCCGAUGUCGGAUUAGCUAGUUGGCGGGGUAAAGGCCCACCAAGGCGACGAUCCGUAGCUGGUCUGAGAGGAUGAUCAGCCACACUGGAACUGAGACACGGUCCAGACUCCUACGGGAGGCAGCAGUGGGGAAUAUUGGACAAUGGGCGCAAGCCUGAUCCAGCCAUACCGCGUGGGUGAAGAAGGCCUUCGGGUUGUAAAGCCCUUUUGUUGGGAAAGAAAAGCAGCAGGUUAAUACCCCGCUGUUCUGACGGUACCCAAAGAAUAAGCACCGGCUAACUUCGUG
rnacentral:rRNA from 1 species